UACGUAGGUGGCAAGCGUUGUCCGGAUUUACUGGGCGUAAAGGAUGCGUAGGCGGACAUUUAAGUCAGAUGUGAAAUACCCGAGCUUAACUUGGGUGCUGCAUUUGAAACUGGGUGUCUAGAGUGCAGGAGAGGUAAGUGGAAUUCCUAGUGUAGCGGUGAAAUGCGUAGAGAUUAGGAAGAACACCAGUGGCGAAGGCGACUUACUGGACUGUAACUGACGCUGAGGCGCGAAAGCUAGGGGAGCAAACGGG
rnacentral:rRNA from 1 species